rfam:Agrilus planipennis Contig40755, whole genome shotgun sequence.
ACUUUAUUUAUUUAUUAAUUUACCACAGUCUCCUUGUUUACGAUUGGAGAGGACCUUAGUUGGUCCUAGAACGGCCAGAGGUAGAGGGGUUUUAGUCGGUAGGCUCGAGGACUUCUUCCUCGGGAAUCCGACACUACCCACUCGUACGGACAGUUGGGUGUCUUUUGAAGAUUUCCCCUCUUCCACGAAA